AGCAAACUGAUCUUUAGCACAUAAAAUUAACGUAAAAUCAUCAUUGAAUCGUUUGAAGUGAUUCUUUUAAACGGACAGUUCUGUGAGUCGGACCUUGCAUUGUUAAAAUCACAGCAGCUGAAGAACAGAGCUGAGCCUGAGUAAUCCCUCUGCCACCUUCUGAAAGUACGGGUCAGCAAUUUUCAUCCCUCCUGAACAACAAAUAACUUGAUGUGGUGUCAUAUAUACCCAUAUGAACUGGAACAUGGGACAUGAUGCGCAGAGGAUGCUGAGGUCCUCCAGUGACAGAGGCUGUAGCAGGUCAUCUCCAGGACAUGAGGAAAGAGGAUCUCCAGAGACUCCAGUCACUCAAGCCAUAGACUGCUCUCGCUGCUUCCAUCAGGCAUCAGGUCCCGCAUCAGCAGGCUGUUGAAUUACAACAUCAUAUAGCAUUAUGUCUGAAUGCAAGCCAAGCUCAAACUGUCAUAUUUCACUAUAUAAAUAAUGCUAUUUAUUAUUUCCUUAUCACAAACAUUAUAAACUAAAUCUCAUAUUCACAUCAUGCUCCAUCUGUAUAACUCUCUAAUAUUUAUUCAGUAGUUUUCCCAUUGCAUUCUACAUUGGUUAUCUCUUAAAAGGAAAUUCACCUGAGAAUAAA